GACGAACGCUGGCGGCGUGCUUAACACAUGCAAGUCGAGCGAACAGACGAGGAGUUUGUGGCGCUGACGUGAGCGGCGCGCGGGUGAGAAACACGUGUAAAACCCACUUAUAAUUGGGGUAUAAUCACGAGGCUGCGGCUCAAACACGGUAGGAGAUAUUGCAGCACGGGGGGGGUUGGAGAGUUUCGGCGGUUGGGGAUGGUUUCGCGGCAUAUCCGCUUGUUGGGGGGGUAGGGGCUUUCAAAGGCUUCGACGGGUAGGCGGCCUGAGAGGGUGACCGGCGACAUGGGGACUGAGGUACGGCCCAGACGCCUACGGGAGGCAGCAGGGGGGAAUCUUGCACAACGGGCGGAAGCCGGAGGCAGCAACGUCGCGUUCGUGAUGACGGCCUACUGGUGGUAAACCGCUGUCGACGUUGAUGAAGCGGGAGUGACGUUAAUGGGUAAGGAAGCACCGGCUAACUACGUG
rnacentral:rRNA from 1 species